UACGUAGGUGGCAAGCGUUGUCCGGAUUUACUGGGCGUAAAGGAUGCGUAGGCGGACAUUUAAGUCAGAUGUGAAAUACCCGAGCUUAACUUGGGUGCUGCAUUUGAAACUGGGUGUCUAGAGUGCAGGAGAGGUAAGUGGAAUUCCUAGUGUAGCGGUGAAAUGCGUAGAGAUUAGGAAGAACACCCGUGGCGAAGGCGGCUCUG
rnacentral:rRNA from 1 species